AAACUUUCAACAACGGAUCUCUUGGUUCUGGUAUCGAUGAAGAACGCAGCGAAAUGCGAUAAGUAAUGUGAAUUGCAGAAUUCAGUGAAUCAUCGAAUCUUUGAACGCACAUUGCGCCCGCCAGUAUUCUGGCGGGCAUGCCUGUUCGAGCGUCAUU
rnacentral:rRNA from 1 species